AUACGGAGGGUGCAAGCGUUAUUCGGAAUCACUGGGCGUAAAGCGCGCGCAGGCGGUCUUUUAAGUUGGAUGUGAAAGCCUACGGCUCAACCGUAGAACUGCAUCCAAAACUAUUAGACUAGAGUGUGGGAGAGGAAGAUGGAAUUAGUUGUGUAGGGGUAAAAUCCGUAGAGAUAACUAGGAAUACCAAAAGCGAAGGCAAUCUUCUGGAACACUACUGACGCUGAGGCGCGAAAGCGUGGGGAGCAAACAGGAUUAGAAACCCUUGUAGUCC
rnacentral:rRNA from 1 species